UACGUAGGGUGCAAGCGUUAAUCGGAAUUACUGGGCGUAAAGCGUGCGCAGGCGGUCCGCUAAGACAGAUGUGAAAUCCCCGGGCUUAACCUGGGAACUGCAUUUGUGACUGGCGGGCUAGAGUAUGGCAGAGGGGGGUAGAAUUCCACGUGUAGCAGUGAAAUGCGUAGAGAUGUGGAGGAAUACCGAUGGCGAAGGCAGCCCCCUGGGCCAAUACUGACGCUCAUGCACGAAAGCGUGGGGAGCAAACAGGAUUAGAUACC
rnacentral:rRNA from 1 species